GAGCAGGGCAGAGUCUUGCUCGAACAUGAAGAGGACUUCUUCUCGGACUUUGCCGAAGGCUUGAAAAUCCUAGCGUCCACUUUAUAUAAGGCCCUCCCAACAUUCCUUCAAGCACCUACCACUGUCGUCUCCUUUCCCCUUCUUUCUUCUUGAGCGUCGUCUGCCUAAGAUCGCUGUGCUCGCCGGAAUUGUUGCCCCAACACUCACUGGAGUUGAGAUAGAGAGGACACCCUCCAUCCCUCCAACCUGCUCUGUACCCACUGCACUAGACCGGAGCACUUUGCCAUCUGUAAUCUGCGGCCAGUGAUGGGUUAUAGUAGCUUGGCAUACGGCCCUCGUCAGUAGGUUACAAUAGUUUGAAGUACGGUCCUCCCCAGUGAGUUACAGUAGCUUGCUAUAUGGCCCUCGCUAUUGGAUUGUAGUAGCUUAGCAUACGACCCUGCCAACGGGUUAUAAUAGUUGGCAUGAUGUUGAUUGCAUAUUUGUUACAGGUAUAAGAUGAUUUUAGUGUUUAGUCUAAGAAAAUUAUAUAAAUUAUGAUACGGCAAAAUGAUAAAUGAUUUAUGCAUUUAUAAAGUUAACAUGACAUAUGAUUUUGGUUAUACAUUGGGAACCAUAUUUAUGUAAUUUGCAUGAAUUAUGCAUGUACAAUAGCAUGAUUAAUUUAUGAUUAUAUUGUUAUUAUAAAAUAUUUAUUUUUUUAUGAUAGUUGUCUUCUUUAAAUGAUUUAUUGAUGCAUGUAAAAACUUAUACUUGAUUCGGUAAUAUAGUGAAAGAUUUACUUACGGAGCUGUAUAGUUUAUAUCUUUUUUUAUUUUUCUUUUUUCAGAUGAAUAAAGUUACUAGGAAUAAAAAAUGGUUCAGGCUUGGAGUUCACAUUAGUAAGCUUGGCGAUUUUGUAAAAAAAAAAAUAGUAUUUUAAUUGACUAUGAAUUUAUAGUCGAUGACUUUUAAAAUUUUUUAGCUUAUAGAUUCUGGUAUUUAAAUUUGGAUUUAGUCGCUCUGGAUGUGUUUGAUAGAUGAUGGAGUUGGAUCAUUGUGCUAUACUUUAUUUGUGAUGGAUUUGUGGGCUGAUUACGAUUGUGGGCUUCAUCUUCUUGCAGGCCAUAUCUCUAUGUAGCAUGACCGUAUUAUGUCGCAAAUUUUGGGCAUGCCAGAUUAAACUAACAGUGAACCCUGAGAGGUGUUUCCCAGGUAUUUGACUCAGCUGAUUCUAAUUGGUGUGCCUACAGUUAAUUCUGACAGUGAAAGUGCAAUGGACGACUCUUGAAAUUAUCUUGAAAAAUCAAGAUUGAAUUCCACUUAACCAUCCUAAUGGAUAACUCUUGAAAUUAUGUUGAAAAUUUUGGAUUGAAUUCCGUUUAAUUGUGCUUGUAAACGAAGCCUCUUUCAUCCCCAUCCAGCAAGCAGGACUUGCUAACGCUUUAUUUUAACCAUUUCUUCUGGUUGUAUGUAUACAUGUAUGUAUGUAGGUAUGUAUUAAGAUUUAAGAAACA